rnacentral:lncRNA from 1 species
ACAAAAUCAAAUAGCACACUGACCGCAGUCAACUCUUUCAAAUACUUGGAUAUGUUGUUAGACCCCAAUCUAUCUUUUGGCCUGCACAUAGAAAAGCUUGCAUCUAAACUUUAUCCAAAACUAGGUGCCCUGUACAGAAACAAAUCCUGCCUAAGCCCUACAGUAAAGGAAAAGAUUGUACAGCAAAUGCUGAUGCCAAUCAUUGAUUAUGUGGAUGUAGUAUAUGCAUCUGC